AAAUGCACAUUGUAAGUAGACUGCCAUUUUAUGUUUUAAAGUGAAAUGAUGUAAUGAUAUGUAGUUUCAGAUACAAAACACGUGUAUCUGGACCAUCUCAAUUGCUUUUCUCAAGGAUAUUGUUACAUCCAGGCCAGCAAGGAAAGCAGAGGCUUGUUAACAGUCCUUUUAUUAAUCUAAUUAAUAAAAUUAUUCAAAGCACAGAAAAUACAAACAAAAAACAAACAAAAAAAAACAAAAAACAAAAAAAAAUAGCUCUGGAAAGAUUUAGGAAAUAUCAAAUACAUACAUAUAAAUAACAAUAAAUUCAAUAAACACAGGUUAACAUAAUAUGCAACUAAUUAAACAAAUCAAAACACAGUGAAAAUGUAUAUUGGCACCUCAGAAAACAGGAACUAAAUAUAAAUAUAAACUCCUUGAGCAGAAACAGAACAUGAAAGUACCUGCCUUUCCAAAAGGCAGCUUUUGACUUUUAAACAGCCAGUGUGAUGGUGGGGGUAAGAGACUACAGUGGAGCUGGCAGAGGAAGAGACUACUGCACAAGUGGUGAAGGAAGAGGUCACGGGUGUGCAGUGGAAGAAGAGACCACUGUAAAAGUAAUUUAGGGUGUCAUGGCAGAAAUGGCAUAGUGGGAUGCCUUGAUGGAACCGGAGCAAUGGAGACCCAUUGUCGAUCCUCAGGCUGUGCAGACCAGACAGAAGGCCAAGGCAGAGUCAGGAUGUCUUGAUACCAAGAUGGAUGUAACCAGAUGACUGGACAACCAGGGUAAUACAGCAGGGCUUGAGGGCCUAGGUGGAUGUAGAAGAUCUGCAGACCGAGGAAGAGCCAGUGGGAGUGUUGAAGAUGGUGGAGCUGGAGGGAUUGAGUACAUUGGACCCAAAUGAUUUGAAGAUGUCUUGUUUAGCAAAACUGGGAGGGAGGGAUGCUUUGAUGGAGCCACAAAGAUAGAGAGACUGUGGAGCCAUGGAUGAGGCAAACCAGGACAGAGUUGAGUAGAUGGAAGACCAAGGUGAAAUCAGGAAAGCUGGAGACCAAGAUGGUGCCAAACUGCUGGAGAACCAGUAUAAUGCCACUGGACUGGAGGGCCAAGGUGAAGACAGAAGAUCGGCAGACUGAGGUGGAGUCGGUGGGAAUGAUGAAGAUCGCAGAGCUAGAGGAAAUAAGAUGUAGGCAUACUUGUUUUGAAUUAGAAAAUAACAGAUGAUGUGUAUUGUGCUCGUACUCCUACAAAACAGUAAAAAAAGUAUAGUUGUUUAUUGUAAUUUUAUGCAAUGUUUAAGCAGAUUAACAAAUAAUAUACAUAUCAAAAACAUAUGCAAAAUAGCAUUUAUAUAGAGCAAAUAUGCUUACAUUAAGUCUCUGUGAAGAUUUUUUUGUUGAGUAAGAAUGGCAGAGAAGAUGUCUAGAUGGAACUAGAUGGUUGGAGAUCCACUUGGAUCCAAGGACGGAGAAGACCAAGUCAAAGCCAGUAAUGGUGGAGAUCAAGACGGAGCAAGUGACACUUGAGUGGACCUGAGUGACAAAGUGGAGAUGGAAGAUCUGUGAAUGAGAUGGAGCCAGUGGGAGUGACGAAGAUGGUGGAGGUCGAAGGAUGUAGGACCCCAGGGCAGCUGAAGGAUUGGAAGAAUGAGAAAGUCGGAUACCUUGAUGGAGCCAGAUGGAUGUAGUCCCAUUGUGCAGCCAGGAGAUACAAGACUAAUGAACAGUAAGGAAGCCUGGACACUAAUAUGGAGCUAGAAUGCUGGAAAACAAAGGUUAUGCUGCUGAACCAGAAGUCUGGAAGUAUGUUGCGGAGCCAGGGAGAUGACAGAUCAGGGUGCAGUCAGAAGGAUCAGGGACUCCGUUGGAGCAGUGACAUGACAGGGCAUAGCACUGAAAUCAGAAGCCAAGGUUGCCAAUGGCAAUAGAAAUUAAAUCAACAUGAAACAAAACUAAACAGCUUUGCAAACUGAGACAAACAAUAUCAAUGAACUGAAGAGUUGAAAUACACAGAGAUAAAGAUGAACUAAACUAAACACAAGUGAACAUAAUUGCUAACCAAGGAAACAUGACAAUAUACUAGAAACUUGCAGCUCAGGAGAAAAGAACUAAACACAGAAACUAUAAACGCAGUAAAAAUUUAACAAAAUGAACAACAAAAUAGGAUUCCAAAAACAGAACAGAACAUGAGAAAUCAAAGAAUAAUGGUCAUGCCUAAUGGCUUUGUUGACCUGGCUUAAGCUUGAACCAGCAAGUUUUGAGUUCUACACUUGAGGUUUGGCUAUUAUGCAAAACCACACCAAUGGGAAUUGCCACUACAUAGUUAAGUGCAUUUGUAAUGUUGAUAUAAGUAACAAAUAUAUCACUUGUAAAUGCAGUAUAAUUUUGUUUACAUUGCAGUUACAACUAUACCUACAAACAAUUCAAUAAAAAAAAUGAAUUGAAUAUAUAUUGUAUCCACAUUGAAAUACAAACUGUAAUAAUAAGGGGUUCUUUUUGGUACUUCUGUCCUGUUCUUAACAGUUUCUGCCGUGAAUGACGUCAAGGAAGUACGCUUGUAGUCAUGAUUAUGUAACACGUCUAUCAUCCUGUAUUAUUUUGUAAUGUCCUCAACAGAUUUUCUACAACAUAACAAAACAAAAUUAUGUUAUCAAUUGUUUUAACAUAAUUAAUAAUGAAUAACAUCAAAAUAAAAUAUGAAAAACAGCAUUAUUAAAAAAAAUUUAAGUACUCACAUCAAGUCUCUGUUUAGUAGCAUGAUUUUAGUGAAAUCCACUCUUUGUUCUUUUUGUUGUUUGGUGCAAGACAUGGAGGAUGUUUUUUUUUUUUUUUUGUGGAUAAUCAGAUAGUCAGUAGAAGGUGCUCUAGAUGAGUUGUAGUGUCCUCAUAGUUGUAGUGUCCUCAUAGUCCUACAAAACAAUAAAACAACAUUUUGUUGUUUAAUGUAGUUUAUGCAAUAUUAAGAACACUAAGACUUUUCUGCUGUGUUGUUGCAUACCAGAUGGUAAGACAUGAAAUGUUCUUUUUUGUUUUGGAACCAAGAGAAGGUCACUUCUUUUUAACCAGGUGAAGGAUGAUAUGCUAAUAUUUUAGUUCAGUUGUCCAUAAUCUCCAGUUUGUUUGUGGCUUGAGAAAGAUUUCUUUUGUAGACUGUGAAAGUAACACUACAGUUACAGGCAUCUUACAUUUGUUUUUUAAAUCAUGAUUUACUAAAUUUAUAAAUAAAAUCAUCUCUACACAAAAUUAAUAAUGACAUUACAUCAUAAAUAAUUAAAACAGUGCUAUAAGUAGAAAACAUGCAAGUACUUUAAAGCAUGAACAUAGCUUGUUGGAUGCCAUUCUAAAUACCUGUUCAGAACUAGUCCACAAAAAAAAAAAAAAAAAAAAAAUUCUAGAGCAAGACUAAAGAUUAAAAAUGUCAAAUUAUGCCAUUUGAAACCCAGAAACCUGAAGACCCAAUAUGAAGGUCUAGCCUCCUCUAAAGGUAAAGCUAUGGCCAUGCUAUGAAAUAACAGCACUAAUCAGUGUGGUUUUGCAUAAUAGCCAUAACUUGCUGAUUCAAGCUUAAAAAGGAGACUGGGUUGGC
ensembl:lncRNA